CCUACGGGAGGCUGCAGUGAGGAAUAUUGGUCAAUGGACGAGAGUCUGAACCAGCCAAGUAGCGUGAAGGAUGACUGCCCUAUGGGUUGUAAACUUCUUUUAUAUGGGAAUAAAACGUUCCACGUGUGGGAUUUUGUAUGUACCAUAUGAAUAAGGAUCGGCUAACUCCGUGCCAGCAGCCGCGGUAAUACGGAGGAUCCGAGCGUUAUCCGGAUUUAUUGGGUUUAAAGGGAGCGUAGGUGGAUUGUUAAGUCAGUUGUGAAAGUUUGCGGGUCAACCGUAAAAUUGCAGUUGAAACUGGCAGUCUUGAGUACAGUAGAGGUGGGCGGAAUUCGUGGUGUAGCGGUGAAAUGCUUAGAUAUCACGAAGAACUCCGAUUGCGAAGGCAGUUCACUGGACUGCAACUGACACUGAGGCUCGAAAGUGUGGGUAUCAAACAGGAUUAGAUACCCCAGUAGUC
rnacentral:rRNA from 1 species